CCUACGGGUGGCAGCAGUGGGGAAUAUUGGACAAUGGGCGAAAGCCUGAUCCAGCCAUGCCGCGUGUGUGAAGAAGGCCUUCGGGUUGUAAAGCACUUUCAGUGGGGAAGAAAGCCUUGGGGCUAAUACCCUCGAGGAAGGACAUCACCCACAGAAGAAGCACCGGCUAACUCCGUGCCAGCAGCCGCGGUAAUACGGAGGGUGCGAGCGUUAAUCGGAAUUACUGGGCGUAAAGCGCGCGUAGGCGGUCUGAUAAGCCGGUUGUGAAAGCCCCGGGCUCAACCUGGGAACGGCAUCCGGAACUGUCAGGCUAGAGUGCAGGAGAGGAGGGUAGAAUUCCCGGUGUAGCGGUGAAAUGCGUAGAGAUCUGGAGGAAUACCGGUGGCGAAGGCGGCCUUCUGGACUAACACUGACGCUGAGGUGCGAAAGCGUGGGUAGCAAACAGGAUUACAUACCCGAGUAGUC
rnacentral:rRNA from 1 species